rnacentral:rRNA from 1 species
AGUGAACGCUGGCGGUAGGCCUAACACAUGCAAGUCGAACGGCAGCACAGUAAGAGCUUGCUCUUACGGGUGGCGAGUGGCGGACGGGUGAGGAAUACAUCGGAAUCUACUUUUUCGUGGGGGAUAACGUAGGGAAACUUACGCUACUACCGCAUACGACCUCCGGGUGAAAGCAGGGGCUCUUCGGACCUUGCGCGAUUGAAUGAGCCGAUGUCGGAUUAGCUAGUUGGCGGGGUAAAGGCCCACCAAGGCGACGAUCCGUAGCUGGUCUGAGAGGAUGAUCAGCCACACUGGAACUGAGACACGGUCCAGACUCCUACGGGAGGCAGCAGUGGGGAAUAUUGGACAAUGGGCGCAAGCCUGAUCCAGCCAUACCGCGUGGGUGAAGAAGGCCUUCGGGUUGUAAAGCCCUUUUGUUGGGAAAGAAAAGCAGCAGGUUAAUACCCCGCUGUUCUGACGGUACCCAAAGAAUAAGCACCGGCUAACUUCGUG